rnacentral:rRNA from 1 species
UACGUAGGGACCAAGCGUUGUUCGGAUUUACUGGGCGUAAAGGGCGCGUAGGCGGCUUAACAAGUCAACUUGUGAAAUCUCCGGGCUUAACUCGGAACGGCCAAGUGAAACUGUCAAGCUAGAGUGCGGAAGGGGCAAUCGGAAUUCUUGGUGUAGCGGUGAAAUGCGUAGAUAUCAAGAGGAACACCUGAGGCGAAGCGGGUUGCUGGGCUGACACUGACGCUGAGGCGCGAAAGCUAGGGGAGCGAACGGG